UGGGGUCCAUACAAAGAG
rnacentral:misc_RNA from 1 species